CGUCUGCCCAAGGAUGGGUCUGCGGCCUAUCAGGUAGUAGUGGGUGUAAUGUACCUACUAGCCGACGACGGGUACGGGUUGUGAGAGCAAGAGCCCGGAGAUGGAUUCUGAGACAUGAAUCCAGGCCCUACGGGGCGCAGCAGGCGCGAAAACUUUACAAUGCGGGAAACCGUGAUAAGGGGACACCGAGUGCCAGCAUCAUAUGCUGGCUGUCCGGGUGUGUAAAAUACACCUGUUAGCAAGGGCCGGGCAAGACCGGUGCCAGCCGCCGCGGUAACACCGGCGGCCCGAGUGGUGAUCGUGAUUAUUGGGUCUAAAGGGUCCGUAGCCGGUUUGGUCAGUCCUCCGGGAAAUCUGACGGCUUAACCGUUAGGCUUCCGGAGGAUACUGCCAGGCUUGGAACCGGGAGAGGUAAGAGGUACUACAGGGGUAGGAGUGAAAUCUUGUAAUCCCUGUGGGACCACCUGUGGCGAAGGCGUCUUACCAGAACGGGUUCGACGGUGAGGGGCGAAAGCUGGGGGCACGAACCGGAUUAGAUACCCGGGUAGUCCCAGCCGUAAACGAUGCUCGCUAGGUGUCAGGCAUGGCGCGACCGUGUCUGGUGCCGUAGGGAAGCCGUGAAGCGAGCCACCUGGGAAGUACGGCCGCAAGGCUGAAACUUAAAGGAAUUGGCGGGG
rnacentral:rRNA from 1 species